rnacentral:rRNA from 1 species
GAUGAACGCUGGCGGCGUGCUUAACACAUGCAAGUCGAGCGGAGGUAUAUAAUCGGAGAGCUUCGGCAGGAAGAGUAUAUAGCUUAGCGGCGGACGGGUGAGUAACGUGUGGGCAACCUGCCGUAUACAGGGGAAUAAUCAUUGGAAACGAUGACUAAUACCGCAUGUCACCAUUGGGAGGCAUCUCGCGAUGGGAAAAGGAGGAAUCCGGUAUACGAUGGGCCCGCAUCUGAUUAGCUAGUUGGUGAGAUAAUAGCUCACCAAGGCGACGAUCAGUAGCCGACCUGAGAGGGUGAUCGGCCACAUUGGGACUGAGACACGGCCCAA